CCUACGGGAGGCAGCAGUGGGGAAUAUUGGACAAUGGGCGAAACCCUGAUGCAGCGACGCCGCGUGAGGGAAGAAGGAAUUCGUGAUGUAAAGCUCUAUCAGCAGGGAAGAAAAUGACGGUACCUGAGUAGGAAGCCCCGGCUAACUACGUGCCAGCAGCCGCGGUAUUACGUAGGGGGCAAGCGUUAUCCGGGUUUACUGGGUGUAAAGGGAGCGUAGACGGCAGUGCAAGUCUGGAGUGAAAGGCGGGGGCUCAACCCCCGGACUGCUCUUGAAACUGUACGGCUGGAGUGCAGGAGAGGUAAGCGGAAUUCCUAGUGUAGCGGUGAAAUGCGUAGAUAUUAGGAGGAACACCAGUGGCGAAGGCGGCUUACUGGACUGUAACUGACGGUGAGGCUCGAAAGCGUGGGGAGCAAACAGGAUUAGAUACCCGAGUAGUC
rnacentral:rRNA from 1 species